UACGUAGGGUGCAAGCGUUGUCCGGAAUUAUUGGGCGUAAAGAGCUUGUAGGCGGUUUGUCGCGUCUGCUGUGAAAUUUCGGGGCUCAACCCCGAACUUGCAGUGGGUACGGGCAGACUAGAGUGUGGUAGGGGAGACUGGAAUUCCUGGUGUAGCGGUGAAAUGCGCAGAUAUCAGGAGGAACACCGAUGGCGAAGUCAGGUCUCUGGGCCACUACUGACGCUGAGAAGCGAAAGCAUGGGGAGCGAACAGG
rnacentral:rRNA from 1 species